rnacentral:rRNA from 1 species
AUUGAACGCUGGCGGCAUGCCUUACACAUGCAAGUCGAACGGUAACAGGUUAAGCUGACGAGUGGCGAACGGGUGAGUAAUAUAUCGGAACGUGCCCGGUCGUGGGGGAUAACUGCUCGAAAGAGCAGCUAAUACCGCAUACGACCGGAGGGUGAAAGCGGGGGAUCGCAAGACCUCGCGCGAUUGGAGCGGCCGAUAUCAGAUUAGGUAGUUGGUGGGGUAAAGGCCUACCAAGCCUACGAUCUGUAGCUGGUCUGAGAGGACGACCAGCCACACUGGGACUGAGACACGGCCCAGACUCCUACGGGAGGCAGCAGUGGGGAAUUUUGGACAAUGGACGCAAGUCUGAUCCAGCCAUGCCGCGUGCGGGAAGAAGGCCUUCGGGUUGUAAACCGCUUUUGUCAGGGAAGAAAAGGUUCUGGUUAAUACCUGGGACUCAUGACGGUACCUGAAGAAUAAGCACCGGCUAACUACGUGCCAGCCGCCGCGGUAACAC